GGUGAUGUAGCUCAGUGGUAGAGUGCCGUGCUUAGCAUGUGGGAGGUCCUGGGUUCAAUUCUCAGGACCUCCA
rnacentral:tRNA from 1 species